rnacentral:rRNA from 1 species
CCUACGGGAGGCAGCAGUGAGGAAUAUUGGUCAAUGGGCGCGAGCCUGAACCAGCCAAGUAGCGUGAAGGAUGACUGCCCUAUGGGUUGUAAACUUCUUUUAUCGAGGAAUAAAGUGCGGCACGUGUGCCUUUUUGUAUGUACCUUAUGAAUAAGGAUCGGCUAACUCCGUGCCAGCAGCCGCGGUAAUCCGGAGGAUCCGAGCGUUAUCCGGAUUUAUUGGGUUUAAAGGGGGCGGAGAUGGGUUGUUAAGUCAGUUGUGAAAGUUUGCGGCUCAACCGUAAAAUUGCAGUUGAUACUGGCAGCCUUGAGUGCAGUAGAGGUAGGCGGAAUGCGUGGUGUAGCGGUGAAAUGCUUAGAUAUCACGAAGAACUCCGAUUGCGAAGGCAGCAUACUGGAGUGCAACUGACGUUGAUGCACGAAAGUGUGGGUAUCGAACAGGAUUAGAUACCCUUGUAGUC